rnacentral:lncRNA from 1 species
AAUAACAUACAAAAACACACCUACCCCCAAUCAAUCAAACAACCCUAAAUAGCAAAAACCACUCACAAGACAAAGCCCAUCCAAAUACCAAACAAACCAAAAUCCCUUCUAAAAGUAUCUCUCUCUGAUCAAAAGAAACAACAACCAAACAUUGAAACACCAUCUAGACUCAUACAACAGCAACCCCAUUUUUUCAAACAUUCUAAAAAACUAGACCCAACUCACCACCAAGCCUUAAACAAACAUGGCCUACUCAUACCAGCAGUUGCUAGUGUUUCUGCCAUUUCAUUACUGUUUAGAUUAGCUGUUGAAAAUGAUAACUUUCCAACAAAAGCAAUCCUCCUAUCUAAGUCUGCAAAUGAAGCUUGUUUAAACCAUGGUCUCCUUUUUUUUUAUCCAAAAUCCAGUUAUAAACCACCCUUGAGCCCAUUUCAACAAUUAAUGAACCUCCCUUCUAAUCAAUCUCAAUAAAAAUGUCCAACAUUGUAAUGACUGCUCCUAAUUCAGUUGUAUAAGCAUCACAAGCGUCACAAGGGCCUGAGAAUAAAGAUCUAACACUACCUCCCUCGUCACGCCUCCAUAGCCCGAAGCACCUUCAGAAGCAGUUCCACUAACGUUAAAUAUCAGCCACGCAUGUGGAGGAUAAAACCAACCUCUUGAGCCAGAUUUAGAAAGACUACACUUAUACGGAAAAAACCACCAUAAUCUCUCUUGAAUCAUACACUCGUCGAAAGCAGCUCUUACCCAUAAUAAUGCCCUCAUCUUGGAAUGAAAUAUUAGCGUAGCCAUCGACAACACUUUAUUUUCAAACACUAACUCAUUCCUCACAAGCCAAAUAGACCAACAAGACACCGCAAUUGCAGUCAGCCGCAGACUCUUGGAAGAACCAAAAAAUGUAGCACCCCAAACCCGACCCAGACGUUAUGGCUGGAUCCGACAUGCCACAUCAAAAAUGUUAAAAUUUUUUUUUCCAUUCUAAGUCCAGAAAAUCGUACUUGAUGUUCAAAAGAUUAAUUCAUUAAGGGUUAAAGUGAAUGGAAGCUGUGCACCAGGUAGGAAAC